rnacentral:rRNA from 1 species
GACGAGCGCUGGCGGCGUGCCUAAUACAUGCAAGUUGAGCGCUGAAGGUUGGUACUUGUACCAACUGGAUGAGCAGCGAACGGGUGAGUAACGCGUGGGGAAUCUGCCUUUGAGCGGGGGACAACAUUUGGAAACGAAUGCUAAUACCGCAUAAAAACUUUAAACACAAGUUUUAAGUUUGAAAGAUGCAAUUGCAUCACUCAAAGAUGAUCCCGCGUUGUAUUAGCUAGUUGGUGAGGUAAAGGCUCACCAAGGCGAUGAUACAUAGCCGACCUGAGAGGGUGAUCGGCCACAUUGGGACUGAGACACAGCCCAAACUCCUACGGGAGGCAGCAGUAGGGAAUCUUCGGCAAUGGACGAAAGUCUGACCGAGCAACGCCGCGUGAGUGAAGAAGGUUUUCGGAUCGUAAAACUCUGUUGGUAGAGAAGAACGUUGGUGAGAGUGGAAAGCUCAUCAAGUGACGGUAACUACCCAGAAAGGGACGGCUAACUACGUG